GUGAGAUGCCUCACUGUAUCCUGAGCUCUUGCCUGAUCCAGACUGAUCAUGCACAUGAUUCAUCUUCUCUGUCUGGCAGCUCUAAGCAUCUGCACACUAAUAACUUGUCAUCCUAUACAAAAGGAAACAAUCCAAACAGAUUUAAUAUGUGAAAAUCUGAGAGAUAUGGAGGCCAAGAUCAGCAGCAAUUUCCUGAUGAUUCAAUUUAGUAAUAGGAUGAGGAAAGCCAUUCAUCAACACUCAAAAGGAGACAUUUUACUGAAGAAAAGAAGCAAGGACUGCUUUUCAGUAUUUGAUAUUAAAAAUAAUAAUAUAAUGUGUUUGGAUACAACCAAAAAGCCACAUAUUUCAGUUGAUGUCAUUAAUAAGGACUCCUUUAAAACAAUUCAAAGAAAGAAUUCCUAUC